AGAGGCCCUGGCUCUCCUCACUCACACAUGGCAGCCUUCACCCCUUGAGGAGUUGGGGGAGUGAUAAGCAAAGGCCAUCCGCUCCCUUUCCUUAUCUUUGCAGGUCAAUGGAGACUGAAGGACUUGUCCCAGCCUGUGCAGCCACGUCCUGUAGCCUAAUAGACAUUCUGUUGUGAGCAAGCAGCCAUGGCCGUGAGAGGCAGAAUGUAAUUUUGGCCAUGUGCUUUGGCAGGCUCCAGGAUCCUACCUUCCCAAGGUGUGAAGUACAUGUGGUUACUGGAGAAGACAAUAGGAGUGAUGCCUGCUCUGGAGCUUGAACACUUCAGGGUGUAAAUCUUCAUCUCACUGCCUUGAAAUCCAGACAAAUAAAAUUGCCUGCUUGUAACUAAUUCCCCUCUGCAACCUCUUAUCUUGUACCAGAGUUGUGAAACUUUUGUGUGUCACUCAGAAAAUCAGCCCUGUGGCUCUCUCGCAUGACUGGAAAACAAAGAGAAAAAUCAUAUUUUGGCCAGAGGAUGCUGUCAAAAAUAAGCUCCCACAUGACUUGCCUCCCCAGCAAGCCUGCAGAGACAAAGUGCAUUCUGCAAGGAGCAGGCUCCUUGUCCAGGCAUCCUGUCCUGGACAUGGUGAGUGGUGAGAAGCAUCCUGAUCCACGGGAUGACAGUGCCUUGGCCUGCUGCCACCUCACCUUCUGUCUGUCCUGGGGGUGAGCAAGCACCCCGCCACCCAGCCCAGGAGUGGGAAGACCUCUACACUGGCAUCUGCCUAAAGCACAUGGGAGCUGCCCAUCAUUCCCUGGGAAGGGAUCAACACUCACCCCCACCCCACUGCCUCCAGGAGCUCCCCACAAUCCUGAAGCUGGUCAGACACACCUGCAUGCUUCCCACAACAGCCCAGCUGCUGGAAGAGGACAGAGCUGGUGGGUGCUUGAGCAAUACAACAUGCUAACAAAAAUGAGGUUGCCACUUCCAAUUCUGCUCACCCAAAUGUGAGACUUAGGGCAAAAUGAUGGUGCAUCCUUCCCCUCUUCCCAUACUCCUAACUCUGCUUGUUAUUUUGACUGAAAAGGUUUGCAUUUUCAGCCAAGAAUCCCUGGGGAGGCAAGGGGAUGUUCUCCAUCAAUCUCACCUUUUGUCUGUGCCCAUUCACUGUGCUGUGAACAGUCCCUCAGGAGCGGGUGGCAAGCACUGGCAUUCCCACCUACAAGCCAGCAUGUUGGAGAUUCAGAUUUCACUUACAUUGGCAACAACUUACUGAGCCGACAAGCCAGCUACAAGAUGAAGCCCUCCUACCUAUACAAGUGCAAACUACAAAUUAUAUUUUGCAUUUCAUGAUUUUAUUGUGAUCCAUAUACACUCCAUGAUAAAUACUGAGA